rnacentral:lncRNA from 1 species
AUAGUCUGAGAAGCUCUCAACAUACACGGGCUUGCCAGGAACCAUAUCAACAAUGGCAGCAUCACCAGACUUCAAGAAUUUAGGGCCAUCUUCCAGCUUUUUACCAGAAUGGCGAUCAGUCUUUUCCUUCAGCUCAGCAAACUUGCAUGCAAUGUGAGCCGUGUGGCAAUCCAAUACAGGGGCAUAGCCAGCACUUAUUUGGCCUGGAUGGUUCAGGAUAAUCACCUGAGCAGUGAAGCCAGCUGCUUCCAUUCUUGACAUUGAAGCCCACAUUGUCCCCAGGAAGAACUUCACUCAAAGCUUCAUGGUGCAUUUCAACAGAUUUUACUUCUGUUGCAACGUUGACUGGAGCAAAGGUGACCACCAUACCAGGUUUGAGAACACCAGUCUCCACUCAGCCAACAGGAACAGUACCAAUACCACCAAUUUUGUAGACAUCCUGGAGAGGCAGGCACAAGGGCUUGUCAGUUGGACGAGUUGGUGGUAGGAUGCAGUCAAGAGCCUCAAGCAGCGUGGUUCCACUGGCAUUGCCAUCCUUACGGGUGACUUUCCAUCCCUUGAACCAAGGCAUGUUAGCACUUGGCUCCAGCGUGUUGUCACCAUUCCAACCAGAAACUGGCACAAAUGCUACUGUGUCGGUGUUGUGGCCAAUUUUCUUAAUGUAAGUGCUGACUUCCUUAACAAUUUCCUCAUAUCUCUUAUGGCUGUAGGGUGGCUCAGUGGAAUCCAUUUUGUUAACACCAACAAUUAGUUGUUUCACACCCAGUGUGUAAGCCAGAAGGGCGUGCUCUCGGGUCUGCCCAUUCUUGGAGAUACCAGCUUCAAAUUCACCAAAACCAGCAGCAACAAUCAAGACAGCACAGUCAGCCUGAGAUGUCCCUGUAAUCAUGUUUUUGAUGAGGUCUCUGUGUCCUGGGGCAUCAAUGAUAGUCACAUAGUACUUGCUGGUCUCAAAUUUCCACAAAGAGAUAUCAAUGGUGAUACCAUGUUCACGCUCAGCUUUCAGUUUAUCCAAGACCCAGGCAUACUUGAAGGAGCACUUUCCCAUCUCAGCAGCCUCCUUCUCAAAUUUUUCGAUGGUUCUUUUGUCGACGCCACCGCAUUUGUAGAUCAGAU